CAGAUACUCCCUCCGUCCAAAAAUACUUGUCCUCGAAAUGGUUGUAUCUAGACUUAUUUUAGUUAUAGAUAUAUUCAUUUUAUUCAUUUUGAGGACAAGUAUUUCCGGACGGAGGGAGUACUUA
rnacentral:pre_miRNA from 1 species